AAAACUUUCAACAACGGAUCUCUUGGUUCUGGCAUCGAUGAAGAACGCAGCGAAAUGCGAUAAGUAAUGUGAAUUGCAGAAUUCAGUGAAUCAUCGAAUCUUUGAACGCACAUUGCGCCCUCUGGUACUCCGGGGGGCAUGCCUGUUCGAGCGUCAUU
rnacentral:rRNA from 1 species